rnacentral:rRNA from 1 species
CGUCUGGAAAGGCGCGCGAUACAGGGUGACAGCCCCGUACACAAAAAUGCACAUACUGUGAGCUCGAUGAGUAGGGCGGGACACGUGGUAUCCUGUCUGAAUAUGGGGGGACCAUCCUCCAAGGCUAAAUACUCCUGACUGACCGAUAGUGAACCAGUACCGUGAGGGAAAGGCGAAAAGAACCCCGGCGAGGGGAGUGAAAAAGAACCUGAAACCGUGUACGUACAAGCAGUGGGAGCACGCUUAGGCGUGUGACUGCGUACCUUUUGUAUAAUGGGUCAGCGACUUAUAUUCUGUAGCAAGGUUAACCGAAUAGGGGAGCCGAAGGGAAACCGAGUCUUAACUGGGCGUUAAGUUGCAGGGUAUAGACCCGAAACCCGGUGAUCUAGCCAUGGGCAGGUUGAAGGUUGGGUAACACUAACUGGAGGACCGAACCGACUAAUGUUGAAAAAUUAGCGGAUGACUUGUGGCUGGGGGUGAAAGGCCAAUCAAACCGGGAGAUAGCUGGUUCUCCCCGAAAGCUAUUUAGGUAGCGCCUCGUGAAUUCAUCUCCGGGGGUAGAGCACUGUUUCGGCAAGGGGGUCAUCCCGACUUACCAACCCGAUGCAAACUGCGAAUACCGGAGAAUGUUAUCACGGGAGACACACGGCGGGUGCUAACGUCCGUCGUGAAGAGGGAAACAACCCAGACCGCCAGCUAAGGUCCCAAAGUCAUGGUUAAGUGGGAAACGAUGUGGGAAGGCCCAGACAGCCAGGAUGUUGGCUUAGAAGCAGCCAUCAUUUAAAGAAAGCGUAAUAGCUCACUGGUCGAGUCGGCCUGCGCGGAAGAUGUAACGGGGCUAAACCAUG